CUACGGGAUGCACCAGUGAGGAAUAUUGCACAAUGGGGGGAACCCUGAUGCAGCAACGCCGCGUGGAGGAUGACGCAUUUCGGUGUGUAAACUCCUUUUAUAUGUCAAGAAAAUGACGGUAGCAUAUGAAUAAGCACCGGCUAACUCCGUGCCAGCAGCCGCGGUAAUACGGAGGGUGCAAGCGUUACUCGGAAUCACUGGGCGUAAAGGACGCGUAGGCGGGUUGGAAAGUCAGGUGUGAAAUCCUACAGCUUAACUGUAGAACUGCACUUGAAACUGGUAACCUAGAGUAUGGGAGGGGGAGAUGGAAUUAGUGGUGUAGGGGUAAAAUCCGUAGAUAUCACUAGGAAUACCUAAAGCGAAGGCGAUCUCCUGGAACAUAACUGACGCUAAGGCGUGAAAGCGUGGGGAGCAAACAGGAUUAGAUACCCGGGUAGUC
rnacentral:rRNA from 1 species